rnacentral:tRNA from 1 species
GAGAGCGUGGUGUAACGGGAUAACAUCUCAGCCUAAGAAACUGAAGAAGAAGGUUCAAAUCCCUCUGUUCUCG